UACGAAGGGGGCUAGCGUUGCUCGGAAUCACUGGGCGUAAAGGGCGCGUAGGCGGAUGAUUUAGUCGGAGGUGAAAGCCCAGGGCUCAACCUUGGAAUUGCCUUCGAUACUGAUCGUCUAGAGAGCGGAAGAGGUUAGUGGAACUCCGAGUGUAGAGGUGAAAUUCGUAGAUAUUCGGAAGAACACCAGUGGCGAAGGCGACUGACUGGUCCGUUUCUGACGCUGAGGCGCGAAAGCGUGGGGAUCAAACAGG
rnacentral:rRNA from 1 species